UACGGGGGGGGCUAGCGUUGUCCGGAAUCAUUGGGCGUAAAGCGCGCGUAGGCGGCCCGGUAAGUCCGCUGUAAAAGUCCAGGGCUCAACCCUGGAACGCCGGUGGAUACUGUCGGGCUAGAGUCCGGAAGGGGCGAGUGGAAUUCUUGGUGUAGCGGUGAAAUGCGUAGAUAUCAAGAGGAACACCUGAGGCGAAGGCGGGUUGCUAGGCUGACACUGACGCUGAGGCGCGAAAGCUAGGGUAGCAAACGGG
rnacentral:rRNA from 1 species